rnacentral:rRNA from 1 species
UACAUGGGGUGCAAACGUUGCUCGGAAUUAUUGGGCGUAAAGCGCACGUAGGCGGUUUGUUAAGUCGGAUGUGAAAUCCCUCGGCUCAACUGAGGAAGUGCAUCCGAAACUGGCAGGCUUGAGUACUAAAGAGGGUCGCGGAAUUCCCGGUGUAGAGGUGAAAUUCGUAGAUAUUAGGAAGAACACCAGUGGCGAAGGCGGCUCACUGGUCCGGUACUGACGCUGAGGUGCGAAAGCGUGGGGAGCAAACAGG